ACUGGGACGGUCAAGUGAUUAAGGCAUUGGACUUAAGAUUCAAUGGCCUUUGUGGGUUCGAACCACACUCCCAGUA
rnacentral:tRNA from 1 species